AUACGGAGGGUGCAAGCGUUAAUCGGAAUUACUGGGCGUAAAGCGCGCGUAGGUGGUUUAGUAAGUCGGAUGUGAAAUCCCCGGGCUUAACCUGGGAACUGCAUUCGAAACUGCUAGGCUAGAGUAUGGUAGAGGGUAGUGGAAUUCCCGGUGUAGCGGUGAAAUGCGUAGAUAUCGGGAGGAACAUCAGUGGCGAAGGCGGCUACCUGGAUCAAUACUGACACUGAGGUGCGAAAGCGUGGGGAGCAAACAGUAGUAGAAACCCCGGUAGUCC
rnacentral:rRNA from 1 species